AUCUGAAGUUCAAAGGCUGAGAACCAGGAGAGCCAAUGGGGCAAGUUCCAGUCCAAGUUCCAAGGCAGGAGAUCAGUAUUCCAGCUCCAAGGCCAUUAGCUUAUGGGUCACUAGGCCUUGAGAAGGCACAUUUGGACCUACGAUCCUGGACUUUGAGCUAGAUGCGGCAACUGGAUCAGAGAACAAAUAUGCCUUGGCUUCUCCUUCUGAGGACCUAUCUCUGUUUUCCAAAGCUGUUCAUUCUAUAAACAUCCUUGGAAAGAUACUCUGGAACAAAGACAGUGAUAACCUCUGCUCUAAGACAUGCACAAAGGUUCUGCAUACCAAUGAAGCUACUGACGUCAGCUGGCCUGAAGGACCUCACAGGAGCUGACUCACCGAAGAAUGCAGUUUCCACAUUCUGAUGAUUUCAUCCUCUCUCCUCUAACCAAUCAAUGACCUCAAUUUUCCAGCUCCUUGCCCUCCAUGGUCCCUUAAAAAAAACCCAGUCUAGAGCUCCUCAGGGUGAUGGAUAUGAGGGCCUCCUUCCAUCUCCUUGCUUAGAGCCCUGUGAUCAUUAAACUCUUUCUCUGCUGCAAACUCUGCUGUCUCAGUGUAAUUGGUAUGUUACUGUGCAAUGGGCAUACCAACCUGUUGGUCCUGUAACAUCCUCAUGAGCAAAAUGGAGAUUGCAUCCACUUCUCUGUGUGGUAAAGAUGAAAUUCAACAUGAAUAAAAUGAUGUUCAGUAGAUGUUCAGUAAAUAUUUCUUCCUUUCCCUUGUCCUUAGGCCCUUUCUGUUUCUCUUCAGGAUGUAGCACUGGGCUUAGAAAGCCCCUGGCUGGUGUUUGCUGAAUGAACUUGGCUUCAUCAUAACAUUUGUAGACAUGCUUCUUCCCUUUCUGUUUAUAGCUGCCAUGUGUGAGCUUAUCUAUAGCCCUUUUGCCAGCUUGGUAUAAUUCUGUUUUUCAUGGGCAGCCUUUAGAAAAUUCUUAUGUGCCAAGAUGACUUCACUGUUGCUUGUUUUCUUCAUUCACGAAACAAUUCAUUUAACAAAUGGAAAGACCAGAUAUGUGCUUGGCUCCAGUGGUAAAUAACAUGGAUUUCACUGCCAUGAAACUGGCAGCUACAAUCAGAGGGACAGGCUUGACAAUCUGCCCCCCCAGAAUGGUGAACUCAGACAGUGCACAGCUGUCACGGCCACCUAACCCAGCAGUUCAACAUAUGCAAUUUUAUUCUGCUGUCAUGCCAUAUAAU